rnacentral:hammerhead_ribozyme from 1 species
AUCUAGUUGAUGAGUCCCAAAUAGGACGAAAUGAGGAUCUCGGAU